rnacentral:rRNA from 1 species
UACGGAGGGUGCGAGCGUUGUCCGGAAUCAUUGGGCGUAAAGGGCGCGUAGGUGGCCCGGUCAGUCCGUGGUGAAAGCGCGGGGCUCAACCCUGCGUCGGCCAUGGAUACUGCCGCGGCUGGAGCACUGUAGAGGCAGGCGGAAUUCCGGGUGUAGCGGUGGAAUGCGUAGAUAUCGGGAGGAACACCAGUGGCGAAGGCGGUGGUCUGGGCCGGAACUGACGCUGAGGAGCGAAAGCGUGGGGAGCGAACAGG